CGAUAUCGUGAUUCCGACUAUCAGAAACCUCGAUUUCCUCGAGAUGUGGAGGCCUUUUCUUCAGCCUUACCAUCUGAUCAUCGUCCAGGACGGAGAUCCUUCGAAGAAGAUCCAUGUCCCUGAAGGCUACGACUAUGAGCUCUACAACAGGAACGACAUUAACCGGAUCCUCGGGCCUAAAGCUUCUUGUAUCUCGUUUAAGGAUUCUGCUUGUCGGUGCUUUGGGUAUAUGGUGUCUAAGAAGAAGUAUAUCUUCACCAUUGAUGACGAUUGCUUCGUAAGUUACUCGAAUUUUGAGAUUUUGUUCUCGCUUUUAUGCUUGAUUUGAGUUUCGUCAAUUUUGGUUCUAGAUCUGUGUUUUUUUAGCUUAUUUGUUUGUGUUUGUGUGAAUUUUUCAAGUUCGUUGCUUGAAUUUCGUAGAUUUGGUGAGAGAUCAAGUCAACGAUUCACUAAAUUUGACGGAUCUUAGGUUUGUGAGAUAAUCCUAGGUCAAUUGGGCAAUUCAAUGUUUUGUACCAGAUCCAUAGAUCCACUUGAUGAGUCCUGGAUAUGUUUUCACUCGAGUGUAAUUAGCCAUGAUCUCUAAUGUUUACGUGUGAGCUGAUGUCACUUUUGUUGACGACAUUGUUGUUGAGCUGAUAUCUCUGUGUCAUUAUAGCUACCUUUACGAUAUGGUUGACUGUCAUUGUUCAUCACUUUUUCUUUGGUUUCACCUUUUUGAGAUUUGUGGGGCAUAUCCAAGGAUGAGUCUCGAUUACGCUUGUGUUUAGUUUUUAAUUUACUGAGCUUUUUUGGAGGAUUUCUUUCAGGUCUUCUAGAUAAUUAUUAAUGGCUUGAUCUGGAUUUUAACCGCUUUUCAUUCAUGUGUUUUCUUUGAUGUGUAUAUGUAGGUUGCCAAGGAUCCAUCUGGCAAAGCAGUAAAUGCUCUUGAGCAACACAUCAAGAACCUUCUCUGCCCAUCGUCUCCCUUUUUCUUCAACACCUUGUAUGAUCCUUACCGUGAAGGUGCUGAUUUCGUCCGUGGAUACCCUUUCAGU
rnacentral:lncRNA from 1 species